AUUUAUAUAGUUUAAAAAAAACAAUAUCUUUUCAAGAUAAAUUUAAAAAUUUAUUUUUUAUAAA
rnacentral:tRNA from 1 species